AAAUAUAGUUGACCUAUAGCAUAGAGUAUUAGAUAAAAAGACCAAAACUCAAAAACUUAACAUUGACCACUGAACCAUGAAAAUGAGGUCAAGGUCACAUGACAUCUGCCCGCUAGACAUGUACACCUUACAAUCAUUCCAUACAACAAAUAUAGUAGACCUAUUGCAUAUAGUAUGAGAAAAACAGACCAAAACACAAAAAUUUAACUUUAACCACUGAACCAUGAAAAUGAGGUCAAGGUCAGAUGACACCUGCCAGUUGGACAUGUACACCUUACAGUCCUUCCAUACACCGAAUAUACUAGCCCUAUUGCGUAUAGUAUCUGAGAUAUGGACUUGACCACCAAAACUUAACCUUGUUCACUGAUCCAUGAAAUGAGGUCGAGGUCAAGUGAAAACUGUCUGACAGACAUGAGGACCUUGCAAAGUACGCACAUAUGAAAUAUAGUUAUC
rnacentral:lncRNA from 1 species